UACGGGGGGGCAAGCGUUGUUCGGAAUUACUGGGCGUAAAGGGCUCGUAGGCGGCCAACUAAGUCAGACGUGAAAUCCCUCGGCUUAACCGGGGAACUGCGUCUGAUACUGGAUGGCUUGAGUUUGGGAGAGGGAUGCGGAAUUCCAGGUGUAGCGGUGAAAUGCGCAGAUAUCAGGAAGAACACCCGUGGCGAAAGCGGCUCUCUGGAACGGUACUGACGCUGAGACGCGAAAGCGUGGGGAGCGAACAGG
rnacentral:rRNA from 1 species